AUGUUUAUUGCACCAAAAAUUCUUAAAUAUUCAGAAAUUUGUAUUACAUUUUCAGGGCAUUCUGAGAACUUUUAUUUUUGGGUCAUUUUUUAUUACACGGGAAAACCAGAAACAGACAAAACAUGGCAUUUUAGUUUAUUUAACUAA
rnacentral:rRNA from 1 species